rnacentral:rRNA from 1 species
CUAGUAAUCGCGGAUCAGCAUGCCGCGGUGAAUACGUUCCCGGGCCUUGUACACACCGCCCGUCACACCAUGAGAGUCGGGAACACCCGAAGUCCGUAGUCUAACCGCAAGGGGACGCGGCCGAAGGUGGGUUCGAUAAUUGGGGUGAAGUCGUAACAAGGUACC